UACGGAGGGUGCAAGCGUUAUCCGGAUUCACUGGGUUUAAAGGGAGCGUAGGAGGGCAGGUAAGUCAGUGGUGAAAUCUUCGAGCUUAACUCGGAAACUGCCGUUGAUACUAUCUGUCUUGAAUACCGUGGAGAUGAGCGGAAUAUGUCAUGUAGCGGUGAAAUGCUUAGAUAUGACAUAGAACACCGAUUGCGAAGGCAGCUCGUUACACGAAUAUUGACACUGAUGCACGAAAGCGUGGGGAUCAAACAGG
rnacentral:rRNA from 1 species